rnacentral:rRNA from 1 species
AAUGGGCGCAAGCCUGAACCAGCCAUCCCGCGUGAAGGAAGAAGGCGCUAUGCGUUGUAAACUUCUUUUCCAGGGAAAUAAAAUUUCGUACGUGUACGGAACUGAAGGUACCCUGGGAAUAAGCAUCGGCUAACUCCGUGCCAGCAGCCGCGGUAAUACGGAGGAUGCAAGCGUUAUCCGGAUUUAUUGGGUUUAAAGGGUGCGCAGGCGGAAUAAUAAGUCAGUGGUGAAAUCCUGCAGCUUAACUGUAGAAUUGCCAUUGAUACUGUUGUUCUUGAGUGUGGUCAAGGUAGGCGGAAUGUGUAAUGUAGCGGUGAAAUGCUUAGAUAUUACACAGAACACCGAUUGCGAAGGCAGCUUACUGGGCCAUUACUGACGCUCAUGCACGAAAGCGUGGGGAUCGAA